AUUAAACAUGAACUAAAAACAAGAAAACAAACGGAAAGAGGCGCGGGAGCCUUGCGCCUUGUAAGGCUGCGCAACCAUGCGCCUUAUAAGGCGCGCCAUACUCCGCACCUUGCUCAUUUUUCCUAAUUUAGACGGUGUUUGUUAGACCGUUCAAAUGUUGCCUUUUGGCAAUCACCUCAUUUUUGUUUUCUUUUUAGAAUUUUUGGCAAAUUUUCUUGCCUUUUAGGCUCCGACUUGUAUAAACUCCCUACACCUGGUUGAGAUAUUUCCCUGGUUGUCGCCACCAAAACUUCUGCGCUAUGAUUGAAUAGAAAACAACAAAUUAAACCAGUUGACUGCUCUAACUAUUGCCUAUAGUUCAUUCUACACUUUUCCCUCAUUGCCAACGGAAAAAUAUGGAAAAAGCUCUAUAAGGCCAUCUUUUGGGUAGCAUCCUGAACAAUUUUGUCAAAGGCGCGCUUAAGCGCUAUAGAGAGGCUCAAAGUAUGUUGAGCGCUUUGCCUCACUUCGUGUGCGCUUCAAUGUCAUCAUCAAGAUUUUAAGACAUACUUUUCCUUGCCAACAAGCCCUUUACGAAGAGGUGACAAGGCUUGGAAAAUGGAACAAGGUUCCACUCCCAGGUAGGUUCAUGCCCAAAGAGCCAUGACAAGGCUUGGGAGGGAGAUUGAGGAAAGCCACAAUGGUUUUAUGCUCCAAGACACGCUCAUUGCAAGAGAAGCUAAGCCAGGACAAGUUUCACCGAAUAAGUUUGCACCAAAAAAAGCCUGAUAACUGAAGAAAAAGACUCGACGAUGGGCUCACAUCCGAGUCCAACUGCGAGAGAUAAAGGACAAUGUUGAUCCCCUUCACUCUAUUUGAGUGCCUUUCCAAAUCCACCUCCUUUCUGCUACAAAAAACUCAAGUUGAUGCAAAAGGAUUCACAAUCUGAAGAAUAUAUCCUCUUCUGUACAUAAUUAUAAGCAUAAUAGACAAGGUGUACCACGUCAACGAACUCGAAACAAGGUGAAAUUCAAUUUAAACUUCAUCCUCGAACAGCCUAGUGCAGGAAGGAGAAACAAAAUCUUGACAAGUCAAAGUCCCCCAAAUCUUAGAAUCAGUGACUAUUCAAAGAAGAGAACCAGGUUGAAGGUCGACAUAUGGGUUAUUACAUUAAGCUUUAUAUACCGAAAAGAGUUUCUUUGUGUGGUACUAGCUUUGCGCAUUCUAUUGAAUGUUUUUAACAUAUGGAAGUACGUAUGCACCUGGACACCAGAAACAUGUAACUAACAACAUCUGGCUAUGACACAAAAUUCAUAGUCCAGAUAAGAGAUCUAGCUAAAAUUUAUUUACA